GGUCUCUUCAGUGCUCUCCAGUUGUUUGUGUCUCAGUUUUGUAUAAAUAUCGUGGAAUUUUCUCCUUUAAAAAAUACACUUUGAAAAAAGAAUCCCAUUAUCUGCUACUUGGCUGCAGGUAAUUAUCGGCUAGCUUUGCAGAAGUCAUCUGGAAGGAACCUCCCCUCCCAGAGUGGCACUGAUACAAAUGGCACAUUCUGUGGCACAACACAUGUCUGCUUAAUGUCUGGGAGCUGUAACUCAUCGACUGGGAUAACAGAGGACCUCACACAGAACUGAUGGAGUAUUAUUUGUCUUUCAUUUACCCAUUGAGACGGAGGCCUCAUUUACAAGGGCGUCCUGGAAAGUUGGGUUUAUUUUAUAUUCUACCUUUUAAGACAAAGAGUGGAAAUGUACAGAACCAGGGAGUUCCACUCAUCUACUGAAAAGAUUUCCGGGGACUGCUCACAUCUGCAGUAGUAUCUACACAGAAACAAACUUUAAACAUCAGGCUCCUGUUUCAUUGUUGCUGUAAAUUCUAGCAUUUAAAUCGUGGCCUACAAAAUCCGUGUAAUUGGGGCUCCACAGACAUACUAGCUAUAAUUGAGAACUUAAGGGAGAGCCAGAUCUAGUAAGCCUGAGAUCUGGUGUGAUGUAAAAGCCAGAGCAAGCUCAAUGUAAGUGGAGCACUCGAUAACUUUGAAAGGGCUGAAAAGAUAGACAUCCCUGUUAAGGCCAAAGAUCAGCUGUUUUAUCCAAUGGACCUGAGCAAUGGAAAAGAUGGCCGGUGCUGUCAGUCACUCCCCCUAAACAAACACAAAUUCAUCACCUUCUUGUAAAAAAAGAUAUAGAAAUAAAGGAAGGCUUGUCAAGCAGCUCAGUCCAGCUCAUGGAAUUCGAAGCUGCUUUUAACAUGUAAACCCCAUCUUAGUGGGAUUAUUUCAGCUUGCCAAAGACCAAUAAAAAGCAGACUGAGUCAGUGCCAGCCCCCCAUCGUCUGUGUUUCAGGAGGUCUGUUAUUAAUUAAGGGACUGAAGAGUCAAUGGUUUGGAUGUGAAAGCCUCCUUUGUUUAGCCAAAGUACCUUUCAUAACAGAGUUAAAACAUGACACGUUAACUGCUGCUGUAUUAUUAUGAGAGAACCGAAAGUGACAGCUAAUGGAGGCUCCUUUCUUUUGAAGAUAACCCCCCCCCCCCAACCAAACAUUUUAAAUUAAGGUCAGCUCGUUUGAUACGGUUAAGGUAUAGUUUUGUGUGAUCCCUUUUAGAUAUUGUGGGAGGGCAGCGGUGUGAUACAGCUCUUAAUGGCUAUACAAAUAGCAGGCAGAGAUGUAAGGAAUUGCAGUUUAAGCACUGAUGUGCGUGUUUAUUUACAGAAACAAAAA